AAUUUCGGACAAUGGGGGAAACCCUGAUCCAGCCAUCCCGCGUGUGCGAUGAAGGCCUUCGGGUCGUAAAGCACUUUUGGCAGGGAAGGAAAGGCCCUGGUUAAUACCUGGAGCUGCUGACGGUACCUGCAGCAUAAGCACCGGCUAACUACGUGCCAGCCUCCGCGGUAAUACGUAGGGUGCAAGCGUUAAUCGGAAUUACUGGGCGUAAAGCGUGCGCAGGCGGUUUGGCAAGAAGGAUGUGAAAUCCCAGGGCUUAACCUUGGAACUGCAUUCUUAACUGCUAGGCUAGAGUAUGUCAGAGGGGGGUAGAAUUCCGCGUGUAGCAGUGAAAUGCGUAGAGAUGCGGAGGAAUACCGAUGGCGAAGGCAGCCCCCUGGGAUAAUACUGACGCUCAUGCACGAAAGCGUGGGGAGCAAACAG
rnacentral:rRNA from 1 species